GCAGAGCACUCCUACGGGAGGCAGCAGUGGGGAAUAUUGCACAAUGGGCGCAAGCCUGAUGCAGCCAUGCCGCGUGUAUGAAGAAGGCCUUCGGGUUGUAAAGUACUUUCAGUGGUGAGGAAGGUUCUAGUUCAAAUAGGGCUAGGAAUUGACGUUAACCACAGAAGAAGCACCGGCUAACUCUGUGCCAGCAGCCGCGGUAAUACAGAGGGUGCAAGCGUUAAUCGGAAUGACUGGGCGUAAAGGGCGUGUAGGUUGAGACUUAAGUUAGAUGUGAAAGCCCCGGGCUUAACCUGGGAAAGUCAUCUAAAACUGGGGUCACUAGAGUAUAGGAGAGGGAAGUGGAAUUUCCGGUGUAGCGGUGAAAUGCGUAGAUAUCGGAAGGAACACCAGUGGCGAAGGCGACUUCCUGGCCUAAUACUGACACUGAGGCGCGAAAGCGUGGGUAGCGAACAGGAUUAGAUACCCUGGUAG
rnacentral:rRNA from 1 species